UACGAAGGGUGCAAACGUUGCUCGGAAUUACUGGGCGUAAAGCGCGUGUAGGCUGCUUAGCAAGUCGGAUGUGAAAGCCCUGGGCUCAACCUAGGAAGUGCAUUCGAAACUUCUGAGCUGGAGUGCUGGAGAGGAAGGCGGAAUUCUCGGUGUAGAGGUGAAAUUCGUAGAUAUCGAGAGGAACAUCGGUGGCGAAGGCGGCCUUCUGGACAGUGACUGACGCUGAGACGCGAAAGCGUGGGGAGCGAACAGG
rnacentral:rRNA from 1 species